rnacentral:rRNA from 1 species
UUGAACGCUGGCGGCAUGCCUUACACAUGCAAGUCGAACGGCAGCACGGGGGCAACCCUGGUGGCGAGUGGCGAACGGGUGAGUAAUACAUCGGAACGUGCCCUGAAGUGGGGGAUAACGUAGCGAAAGUUACGCUAAUACCGCAUAUUCUGUGAGCAGGAAAGCAGGGGAUCGCAAGACCUUGCGCUUUAGGAGCGGCCGAUGUCGGAUUAGCUAGUUGGUGAGGUAAAGGCUCACCAAGGCGACGAUCCGUAGCGGGUCUGAGAGGAUGAUCCGCCACACUGGGACUGAGACACGGCCCAGACUCCUACGGGAGGCAGCAGUGGGGAAUUUUGGACAAUGGGCGCAAGCCUGAUCCAGCAAUGCCGCGUGCAGGAAGAAGGCCUUCGGGUUGUAAACUGCUUUUGUACGGAACGAAAAGGUCUGGGUUAAUACCCUGGGCCCAUGACGGUACCGUAAGAAUAAGCACCGGCUAACUACGU